rnacentral:rRNA from 1 species
AUUGAACGCUGGCGGCAGGCCUAACACAUGCAAGUCGAGCGAGCGGCGGACGGGUGAGUAAUGUAUGGGGACUGCCCGAUAGAGGGGGAUAACUACUGGAAACGGUGGCUAAUACCGCAUACUAUCGGAUAACCCAUAUGGGAUUAGCUAGUAGGUGGGGUAAAGGCUGACCUAGGCGGCGAUCUCUAGCUGGUCUGAGGGGAUGAUAAGCCACGCUAGAAAUGAAGCACGGGCCAGACUCAUACGGAGACAGCAGUGGGAAAUAUUGCACAAUGGGCACAAGCCUAAUGCAGCCAUGCCGCGUGUAUAAAGAGGGCCUUAAGGUUGUAAGAUACUUUCAGCGGGGAGGCGUUACCCGCAGAAGAAGCACCGGCUAACUCCGUGCCAGCAGCCGCGAUAAUAC